rnacentral:lncRNA from 1 species
GCUGGCUAUAAUUCAUCAAUAUAAUUGAGAACUAGCAUGAACAAACUUUUGACUGAACAAGUUUUAAACAUGAACAAACAAUUCUGAACCAACUGGUAAUGAAAGUGAUCAGCCUUUCAUACCUGACUUAUACAUACAAGAUGUACAGAGUACAAUUUUCAUGGCAAUCAGUAAUGAUUAACCAUAAGCUUGAAUAAAAC